AGAUUCCGUGAAUCAUCGAAUUUUUGAACGCAUAUUGCGCCCUCGCUCUCGGGCUUGGGCAUGUCUGCCUCAGCGUCGUUUUUAAUGGUUCUCCGUACCUGGCUCUUGUGCAAAGCAUGGGCUUAAGCUCUGAGGUAAUCGUACUUAGUACGACGAUAGCAGCAGUCUGCCCUUGACGCUGUUCAUUGUUAGCAAGCUAUGCAAGUAGCAAAAGUCUGCCAUGAACAGCUACGGUGGUGUG
rnacentral:misc_RNA from 1 species